GUUCUUCCUUCCCACUGCUUAAUAAUAUUCGGCAAACAUUUUCUACUGAGAAAACUAUGAGUAGCAAAGCCUUCAAACAGCAAAGUUAUUGUGAACAAUCAUCGAUUAAAUUUGUAGUAUUACCCUUUUCAGUGGUCAGGACAUUAGAUCAGAGUGUGGGAGAGUUUACCAUGGCCUACUUGGAGAAAUCAAAGAGUGAGCUACCUUGGACCUCCGAUCCCAACACAGAAAUUUUUUCCUUCCACGAAUGCAUCAAGCAUUGGGCAAUCUUAUAUCAGUGUUAAAUCAACAGAUGAGAAUCCAGGGGGGUAUACUGCAGAAGUUACAGGUCUUUCUCCUAAUGCUACUGAGAAGGAUGUUCAGGAGUUCUUUGAUUUCUGUGGGGCAAUUGAACAUGUUGAGAUUGCCAGGUGGGUUUGGGUUUCUUGUGUUUCAAUUCCUCCCAAUUUCCUUAAAGUUCAAACCCACCCCUCAAUUUUGGUGUACAUACAAUAUAAAUGGUUAUCUUUUGCAAUGUAGUUAGGUAAUAUGAGCGAUAAACAAGUUUGGCUAUUAUCCUGUUUCUUUUUUUGAUCU